rnacentral:misc_RNA from 1 species
GGCUACGUCGCUAUUCUUCUGCGUGGAACAAUGAAGGCCUCAAUUCUCAGAUCCGUUCGUUCCGCCGUUUCCAGAUCCUCAUCGUCGAAUCGCCUCUUGAGCCGUAGCUUUGCGACCGAAUCGGUGCCGGAAAGGAAAGUGGCCGUUCUCGGUGCCGCCGGUGGGAUUGGACAGCCAUUGGCGCUUCUCAUGAAGCUUAACCCACUUGUCUCUAAGCUUGCCCUCUACGAUAUUGCCGGUACCCCUGGUGUUGCUGCUGAUGUCGGCCAUGUUAACACUAGAUCCGAGGUUACUGGCUACGUGGGUGAGGAGCAACUCGGCAAAGCUUUGGAGGGAUCCGAUGUUGUCAUCAUUCCUGCUGGCGUUCCAAGAAAGCCGGGCAUGAC